rnacentral:misc_RNA from 1 species
CGCGAGUAGAAACACUGCCGGAAAGAGGAGGUAAAUGAUGGAACUUGCACCCGGCGAGGCGAGGAAACCCUACCGGUCUCCUCGGCUGGAGAAGAUCGGUAAGGUGGCGGAUAUUACCCUGGAAGUCGGUAUUUAGUACUACGGUUGUAGUUGCUACGCUGGUUGUGGCACCAUAUCCUU